rnacentral:rRNA from 1 species
ACUCCUAGCCAGACUAUUGGACUAAUCUAUUUAAUUAUAGAAGAAAUACUGUUAAUAUGAGUAACAAGAAAAUUUUUCUCCUUGCACAAGCUUAUAUCAGUAACUGAUAAUAUACUGAUAGUUAACAGCUAAUAAAUAUAACCUAACACUAAACUAUUUAUUAAUCACACUGUUAAUCCAACACAGGUGUGCACCAAGGAAAGAUUAAAAAGAGUAAAAGGAACUCGGCAAACACAAACCCCGCCUGUUUACCAAAAACAUCACCUCUAGCAUAACUAGUAUUAGAGGCACUGCCUGCCCAGUGACAAUCGUUAAACGGCCGCGGUAUCUUGACCGUGCAAAGGUAGCAUAAUCACUUGUUCUCUAAAUAAGGACUUGUAUGAAUGGCCACACGAGGGUUUUACUGUCUCUUACUCUUAAUCAGUGAAAUUGACCUCCCCGUGAAGAGGCGGGGAUAAUACAAUAAGACGAGAAGACCCUAUGGAGCUUUAAUUAAUCAACUCAAAAAGCAUAAAAUAAUACCACCAAGGGAUAACAAAGCUUUAGAUGAGCUGACAAUUUCGGUUGGGGUGACCUCGGAGUAUAAAAAACCCUCCGAGUGAUUAAAACUUAGGCCUACUAGCCAAAGUAUAGUAUCACUUAUUGAUCCAAAAUUUUGAUCAACGGAACAAGUUACCCUAGGGAUAACAGCGCAAUCCUAUUCUAGAGUCCAUAUCGACAAUAGGGUUUACGACCUCGAUGUUGGAUCAGGACAUCCUAAUGGUGCAGCAGCU